UUGACCUCGAAUCAGGUAGGAAUACCCGCUGAACUUAAGCAUAUCAAUAAGCGGAGGAAAAGAAACCAACCGGGAUUACCUCAGUAACGGCGAGUGAAGCGGUAACAGCUCAAAUUUGAAAUCUGGCUCUUCUGGAGUCCGAGUUGUAAUUUGUAGAAGAUGCUUUGGGUUGUGGGUUCGGCCUAAGUUCCUUGGAACAGGACGUCAUAGAGGGUGAGAAUCCCGUAUGUGGCCGAGGCCCGCGCCUAUGUAAAGCUCUUUCAACGAGUCGAGUUGUUUGGGAAUGCAGCUCAAAAUGGGUGGUAAAUUUCAUCUAAAGCUAAAUAUGGGCCAGAGACCGAUAGCGCACAAGUAGAGUGAUCGAAAGAUGAAAAGCACUUUGGAAAGAGAGUUAAACAGUACGUGAAAUUGUUGAAAGGGAAGCGCUUGCACCCAGACUUGGGCGCUGCUGAUCACCUUGGGUUCUUCCCAAGUGCACUCGACAGCGCACAGGCCAGCAUCGGUUCGGGUGGCUGGAUAAAGGCCGUAGGAACGUAGCUCCCCUCGGGGAGUGUUAUAGCCUACGGUGCCAUGCAGCCCAGCCGGACCGAGGACCGCGCCUUCGGGCUAGGAUGCUGGCGUAAUGGGUGUAAGCGACCCGUCUUGAAACACGGACCAAGGAGUCUAACAUCUAUGCGAGUGUUUGGGUGGUAAACCCAUACGCGGAAUGAAAGUGAACGUAG
rnacentral:rRNA from 1 species